ACGGAGGAUGCAAGCGUUAUCCGGAUUAAUUGGGUUUAAAGGGUGCGCAGGCGGAUUAAUAAGUCAGUGGUGAAAUCCUACGGCUCAACUGUAGAACUGCCAUUGAUACUGUUAGUCUUGAGUAUUGUUGAGGUAGGCGGAAUGUGUCAUGUAGCGGUGAAAUGCUUAGAUAUGACACAGAACACCUGUCGCGAAGGCGGCUUACCAGGAAAUAACUGACGCUCAUGCACGAAAGCGUGGGGAGCAAACCG
rnacentral:rRNA from 1 species